rfam:Beta vulgaris subsp. vulgaris Bvchr5.sca007.con0078.1, whole genome shotgun sequence.
GUGUUCGUAAGAAGGAGAGAUGGUUGGCAUCUCCCCUGACAGGGACGGGAAUGGCUUUCGAGCUUUCUUGUUACCACACAUCCGGUUAAGGCUUCCCACUUCGGUGGAUCUUAUAACCAAAUUUUUUC